rnacentral:rRNA from 1 species
UACGUAGGGUGCGAGCGGUAAUCGGAAUUACUGGGCGUAAAGUGUGCGCAGGCGGCAGAGCAAGUCGAGUGUGAAAGCCCCGGGCUUAACUUGGGAAUUGCGCUCGAAACUACUUUGCUGGAGUGUGGCAGAGGAAGGUGGAAUUCCACGUGUAGCGGUGAAAUGCGUAGAGAUGUGGAGGAACACCAAUGGCGAAGGCAGCCUUCUGGGCCAACACUGACGCUCAUGCACGAAAGCGUGGGGAGCAAACAGG